CUAGUACUCCCUCCGUCCGGAAAUAUUUGUCAUCAAAAUGGUAAAAGAAAAUGUAUCUAGACGUAUUUUAGUUCUAGAUACGUCUUUUUUUAUCCAUUUCGAUGACAAGUAUUUUCGGACGGAGAGAGUAUUAU
rfam:Triticum aestivum genome assembly, contig: Triticum_aestivum_CS42_TGACv1_scaffold_147406_2BS